AUGGUGGUCGGAGGCCAUGCAACAAUCUCCGCCGCCCUGCACAAGGGUUUGGCAUCCAUCAUCAUUCUCAUGGCUCGGGAGACUUGGAAGCAUCGGAAUGCUGCCAUCUUCGAUGGUGCACGACCCUCUAUUGCCGUACUUGCCAAAUUCAUCAAUGAUGAGGCAAGACAUUGGGCUGCUGCCGUCGCUAAAGGGAUAGGAUGCAUGUAA
rnacentral:rRNA from 1 species